UCAGGAAGUGCAUAGAGGAUGUUGUAUCGGUCCCAGGUUCAAAUGUUUAAAUCUGCAAUGCGUAACAAUGUGUGUACAGGUGUUUUUAGAGACCCCUCUGCCAAGAAUGCUGUAUUUCUUCUACAUUUGAACAUGAUAUGCCAGAAACCCCAGCUCUCAUUGCAAGUCGCCGCUGGGACGACGUAGCAUCAACAUCCGCUCGGAGACUUUGUGGCUGUGGUAGUGACAACCCAACGGACUCGGGAAAUGUGAGGCUGUGGAUGUCGAUGCAAUUACAGUUAUGGACAAGAUUGAUGAUAACUCAAUACCAUUUUAGCAACACUGUCUUCAGAACAGGAUUCCAGCCUUGAAGAGCCGCAGACCGUCCAGGGGCACAGGCAGGACUACAGAAAGAAUUGGACAGGAAGACCUUGAAAGGGCUGCCUGAGAAGAAGACUAAAUUGCAAGAGCUGUCCGCUUCCCUUCUACCUGGAGUGAUUUUUGACAUCAUGGUGUACCGGAGAGCUAUCCCAGGGUCUCCAGAAAUCCAAGACAACCUCACAACCUUACAACACACAACUGCUGCCAAUUCACCACUGCAAUAUUCAAUUUAUUACCAAGUAUGUUACCAUAACAAGAUAACACUUCCAUGACUACACCGUACUUUAUUCUUAAUUUGGAUCUAAAUUAAGAAAAUAUGGUAAUAUCUUUAAGUAGUUUUGUGAAUUUUUCCUUGGUCUGGGUGAAAUCAGUUCAAUACUUUACCAGUUCACUACAUUGUUUCCCUUACACUACCUUGUAUUCUUGUUCAUCUACCUAAUAAAACUUUAUUUGACCUGAUCGUC